rnacentral:rRNA from 1 species
GUACACGCUGUGACUAGCAUAUCAAUAAGCGGAGGAAAAGAAACUAACAAGGAUUCCCCUAGUAACGGCGAGUGAAGCGGGAAGAGCUCAAAUUUGAAAUCUUAAAGGGUUUCCCUUUACGAAUUGUAGUUUGAAGAAGUGUUUUCUGUUGAGGUUUUGGUAAAAGUUCUUUGGAAUAGGACAUCAUAGAGGGUGAGAAUCCCGUAUUUGACCUUUACUUUCAACUUUGUGAUACACUUUCAAAGAGUCGGAUUGUUUGGGAAUGCAGUCCAAAAUGGGUGGUAAAUUUCAUCUAAAGCUAAAUAUUGGCGAGAGACCGAUAGCGAACAAGUACCGUGAGGGAAAGAUGAAAAGAACUUUGAAAAGAGAGUUAAACAGUACGUGAAAUUGUCAAAAGGGAAGCGUUUGACACCAGUGUUGUUUUUCUGAAAAUCAACUAAAGAACUGUUUAUGCUAAGCUGUUUAGACUUUAUCAGCUAUACUGUUUAGUUUUGAGCUUUUCUUUAAUGCACUUUUCAGUUAACAAGUCAACAUCAAUUUCUUUGCUGUAAAAAAGCUUGAGGAAGGUGGCUUGAGAUUCGUCUUAAGUGUUUAUAGCCUCUUGCCUAUGCAGUCGGAGAGAUUGAGGUCUGCAGCGUAGAUCCUUCGGGGCUAAAUGCAUUUGUGCUAAGUUAUAGCAUUUCAUAGACAACUUGUUGACUAUGAUUUGUCUUGUAGCUUACUCGCUUAUGUUAUUUUACCUACGCUUAGGAUGUUGACGAGACUGUCGAUCUCAUCUAUACAUGACUCUGUGCAUAUCAAUAAGCGGAGGAAAAGCGUAUUAAAGAUCCAGGUACCUACGCUUAGGAUGUUGACGAGACUGUCGAUCUCAUCUAUACAUGACUCUGUGCAUAUCAAUAAGCGGAGGAAAAGAAGGGCUUCCUCUGUGAUUUUUAUGAGAUGAUUCAUGAUCUGGUCUACAUUCUGGCGGCUGUUGCGCUGCUGUUUGUAUUUAUGGUUCGGCUUGUAGGUGUGGAUGGCUCCUCUAUGGUACCUACGCUUAGGAUGUUGACGAGACUGUCGAUCUC